GUCAGUGUGGCCGAGUGGUUAAGGCGAUAGACUAGAAAUCUAUUACAUUCGUGUGCACAGGUUCGAGUCCUGUCGCUGACG
rfam:Aspergillus wentii DTO 134E9 unplaced genomic scaffold ASPWEscaffold_3, whole genome shotgun sequence.